rnacentral:rRNA from 1 species
UACGUAGGCAGCGAGCGUUGUUCGGAAUUACUGGGCGUAAAGAGUGUGUAGGCGGUGCUCUAAGUCUGUUGUGAAAUCUCCCGGCUCAACUGGGAGGGUGCGGCGGAAACUGGAGUGCUCGAGUGUGGGAGAGGUAAGCGGAAUUCCUGGUGUAGCGGUGAAAUGCGUAGAUAUCAGGAGGAACACCUGUGGUGUAGACAGCUUACUGGACCACGACUGGCGCUGAGACACGAAAGCGUGGGUAGCAAACAGG